CUCUGUGACUCCUACGGGAGGCAGCAGUGGGGAAUAUUGCACAAUGGGCGCAAGCCUGAUGCAGCCAUGCCGCGUGUGUGAAGAAGGCCUUCGGGUUGUAAAGCACUUUCAGUUGUGAGGAAGGUGGUGUCGUUAAUAGCGGCAUCAUUUGACGUUAGCAACAGAAGAAGCACCGGCUAACUCCGUGCCAGCAGCCGCGGUAAUACGGAGGGUGUGAGCGUUAAUCGGAAUUACUGGGCGUAAAGCGCAUGCAGGUGGUUUGUUAAGUCAGAUGUGAAAGCCCGGGGCUCAACCUCGGAACUGCAUUUGAAACUGGCAGACUAGAGUACUGUAGAGGGGGUAGAAUUUCAGGUGUAGCGGUGAAAUGCGUAGAGAUCUGAAGGAAUACCGGUGGCGAAGGCGGCCCCCUGGACAGAUACUGACACUCAGAUGCGAAAGCGUGGGGAGCAAACAGGAUUAGAUACCCUGGUAG
rnacentral:rRNA from 1 species